GCCGAUUGUGAAGAAGGUGGAGGCUUGGAUUCACAGUCACCAGGAUUCUCAUGAGGACAAAUUAGAGCACCUGUCACUAUAGCCAGCACUCAAGAAAUGGGAUUAUCAUCAGAGGGAAAAAUGCACAGCCUCACCAGCUAUUAAACAUAUGGAAAUGAUGACAAUUUAAAGCUUAUAAAUAACAUUAGCGGUGGCUUGGAUUUAUUGUUGUGGCCUCCGGAAGAACUUGGGCACAGUGUAACUUCCUGGGGCCCGAGGUUGUUAAUCGGUGAAUUGUUCAUGAAGGACAGUGCUCACU
rnacentral:lncRNA from 1 species